rnacentral:rRNA from 1 species
CUAUCAUCAUUCCAUGCUAAUCUGUUCAAGCACUACGGCCUGCUUUGAGCACUCCAAUUUUCUCACAGUGAACGAUGAGCCCAAGACGGACUCAAAGUUGAGGAAGUUAGUCAGACUCGUGAUUCCACUUGUCCACCUCCCCCUGACCUCCGACUACGAGCUUUUUAACUGCAGCAACGUUGCUGCUGCUUACUGGAGCU